rnacentral:lncRNA from 1 species
AUUGUGAUGUGGUCCGGGAGCGUUCCGGGUGGUAACAGCGUGGUUAGACGCUCUCUGCGGGGAAGGAGAGAAGGACACAUGGCAAUGCUGAAUCCUUUAUUCAUGAAGACCUUUCCUGGCCAGCGCUUGCAGAGGCC